UACAGGGGGUGCAAACGUUGCUCGGAAUCAUUGGGCGUAAAGCGCACGUAGGCGGUCUGUUAUGUCGGAUGUGAAAGCCCUCAGCUUAACUGAGGAAGUGCAUCCGAAACUGGCAGGCUAGAGUACUAAAGAGGGUCGCGGAAUUCCCGGUGUAGAGGUGAAAUUCGUAGAUAUCGGGAGGAACACCGGUGGCGAAGGCGGCGACCUGGGUAGAUACUGACGCUGAGGUGCGAAAGCGUGGGGAGCAAACAGG
rnacentral:rRNA from 1 species